rnacentral:rRNA from 1 species
AACAAACGCUGGCGGCGUGUCUUAAGCAUGCAAGUUGAGCGGCAAGGAGGAGAGAUCCUCCCUAGAGCGGCGGACUGGUGAGUAACGCGUGGGUAAUCUAUCGUAGGCAUGGGGAUAGUCACUAGAAAUAGUGGGUAAUACCGAAUACGUUCCAUGAGGGGAGUAUUCAUGGAAGAAAGGGUGCUACGGCACUGGCCUUAGGUGAGCUCGCGUCCCAUUAGCUAGUUGGUGAGGUAAAGGCCCACCAAGGCGAUGAUGGGUAGCCGGCCUGAGAGGGUUACGGCCACACUGGGACUGAGAUACGGCCCAGACUCCUACGGGAGGCAGCAGCUAAGAAUAUUCCGCAAUGGACGAAAGUCUGACGGAGCGACGCCGCGUGGAUGAAGAAGGCCGAAAGGUUGUAAAGUUCUUUUGCUAGGGGAGAAUAAGUGAGGGAGGAAUGCCCUCAUGAUGACAAGGACUAGCGAAUAAGCCCCGGCAACUACGUGCCAGC